rnacentral:hammerhead_ribozyme from 13 species
CCCGCGUCUAAGGCAGGGUCUGCUAUGUAGCCUUACUGACGAGUCCAUUAGCAGGUCCAGGACGAAACGCUCC